rnacentral:rRNA from 1 species
UACAGAGGUCUCGAGCGUUGUUCGGAUUCAUUGGGCGUAAAGGGUGCGUAGGUGGCGCUGUAAGUCGGGUGUGAAAUCCUGAGGCUUAACCUCGGAACUGCAUUCGAUACUGCGGCGCUUGAGGACUGGAGAGGAGACUGGAAUUCAUGGUGUAGCAGUGAAAUGCGUAGAGAUCAUGAGGAAGACCAGUGGCGAAGGCGGGUCUCUGGACAGUUCCUGACACUGAGGUACGAAAGCGUGGGGAGCGAACAGG